UGAGCAAACAUUGAGGCAGUGUAAUUUUAGAAAAAAAAAAUUCAGAAAAAAAUUGAAGUACGGGACACUGCUUACAUCUCACGGGACGAUUUUGUCAAUUAUAUUUACUCUUGAAAAUUCAUACAAUUUGUGUUCAUUUGUGAGGAUAAGCUUGAUGGAAAAAAUGUGUAAGAGUCAUUAGCUUUUGUUAGUCACAGACCAUAUUUUAUGCAAUAAUCCAAAAGCCAACGGGUAAUGCACUGAUCUGACAAAACCCCAUGUGUCUGCAGCUGUUGGUCGA